GCAAAAUGACCCCGUAACUUCGGGAGAAGGGGUGCUCUUUGAGGUUCACGCUUCGAAGAGCCGCAGUGAAUAGGCCCAAGCGACUGUUUAUCAAAAACACAGGUCUCUGCUAAACCGUAAGGUGACGUAUAGGGGCUGACGCCUGCCCGGUGCUGGAAGGUUAAGAGGAGUGGUUAGCGCAAGCGAAGCUACGAAUCGAAGCCCCAGUAAACGGCGGCCGUAACUAUAACGGUCCUAAGGUAGCGAAAUUCCUUGUCGGGUAAGUUCCGACCCGCACGAAAGGCGUAACGAUUUGGGCACUGUCUCAACGAGAGACUCGGUGAAAUCAUAGUACCGGUGAAGAUGCCGGUUACCCGCGACAGGACGGAAAGACCCCGUGGAGCUUUACUGUAGCCUGAUAUUGAAAUUCGGUACAGUUUGUACAGGAUAGGUAGGAGCCUUAGAAGCGUGAGCGCUAGCUUACGUGGAGGCAUUGGUGGGAUACUACCCUAAUUGUAUUGGAUUUCUAACCCGCAGCACUUAUCGUGCUGGGAGACAGUGUCAGGCGGGCAGUUUGACUGGGGCGGUCGCCUCCUAAAGAGUAACGGAGGCGCUCAAAGGUUCCCUCAGAAUGGUUGGAAAUCAUUCAUAGAGUGUAAAGGCAUAAGGGAGCUUGACUGCGAGACCUACAAGUCGAGCAGGGUCGAAAGACGGACUUAGUGAUCCGGUGGUUCCGCAUGGAAGGGCCAUCGCUCAACGGAUAAAAGCUACCCCGGGGAUAACAGGCUUAUCUCCCCCAAGAGUUCACAUCGACGGGGAGGUUUGGCACCUCGAUGUCGGCUCAUCGCAUCCUGGGGCUGUAGUCGGUCCCAAGGGUUGGGCUGUUCGCCCAUUAAAGCGGUACGCGAGCUGGGUUCAGAACGUCGUGAGACAGUUCGGUCCCUAUCCGUCGUGGGCGUAGGAAAUUUGAGAGGAGCUGUCCUUAGUACGAGAGGACCGGGAUGGACAUACCUCUGGUGUACCAGUUGUCGUGCCAACGGCAUAGCUGGGUAGCUAUGUAUGGACGGGAUAAGUGCUGAAAGCAUCUAAGCAUGAAGCCCCCCUCGAGAUGAGAUUUCCCAACUUCGGUUAUAAGAUCCCUCAAAGAUGAUGAGGUGAAUAGGUUCGAGGUGGAAGCGUAGCGAUACGUGGAGCUGACGAAUACUA
rnacentral:rRNA from 1 species